rnacentral:rRNA from 1 species
GUCUACAGCCAUGCCACCCGAAAUAAGCCCAAUGUCUGAUCUCAGAAGCUAAGCACGGUCGGGCCUGGUUAGUACUUGGAUGGGAGACCACUUAGGAAGACCAGGCGCUGUAAAUG